UACAGAGGUCUCAAGCGUUGUCCGGAUUUACUGGGCGUAAAGGGCGCGUAGGCGGCAAUUCAAGUCAGCUGUGAAAUCUCCGGGCUUAACUCGGAACGGUCAGCUGAUACUGCUUUGCUAGAGUGCAGAAGGGGCAAUCGGAAUUCUUGGUGUAGCGGUGAAAUGCGUAGAUAUCAAGAGGAACACCUGAGGUGAAGACGGGUUGCUGGGCUGACACUGACGCUGAGUGCGCGAAAGCUAGGGUAGCAAACGGG
rnacentral:rRNA from 1 species